rnacentral:rRNA from 1 species
UACGAAGGGGGGCUAGCGUUGUUCGGAAUUACUGGGCGUAAAGCGCACGUAGGCGGACUGGUCAGUUAGGGGUGAAAUCCCGGGGCUCAACCCCGGAACUGCCUUUAAUACUGCCAGUCUUGAGUUCGAGAGAGGUGAGUGGAAUUCCGAGUGUAGAGGUGAAAUUCGUAGAUAUUCGGAGGAACACCAGUGGCGAAGGCGGCUCACUGGCUCGAUACUGACGCUGAGGUGCGAAAGCGUGGGAGCGAACAGG